GGACGAACGCUGGCGGCGUGCUUAACACAUGCAAGUCGAACGGAAGGGCCCUGCUUUUGUGGGGUGCUCGAGUGGCGAACGGGUGAGUAACACGUGAGUAACCUGCCCUUGACUUUGGGAUAACUUCAGGAAACUGGGGCUAAUACCGGAUAGGAGCUCCUGCUGCAUGGUGGGGGUUGGAAAGUUUCGGCGGUUGGGGAUGGACUCGCGGCUUAUCAGCUUGUUGGUGGGGUAGUGGCUUACCAAGGCUUUGACGGGUAGCCGGCCUGAGAGGGUGACCGGCCACAUUGGGACUGAGAUACGGCCCAGACUCCUACGGGAGGCAGCAGUGGGGAAUAUUGCACAAUGGGCGGAAGCCUGAUGCAGCAACGCCGCGUGCGGGAUGACGGCCUUCGGGUUGUAAACCGCUUUCGCCUGUGACGAAGCGUGAGUGACGGUAAUGGGUAAAGAAGCACCGGCUAACUACGUG
rnacentral:rRNA from 1 species